UACGUAGGGUGCAAGCGUUAAUCGGAAUUACUGGGCGUAAAGCGUGCGCAGGCGGUUCGCUAAGACAGAUGUGAAAUCCCCGGGCUUAACCUGGGAACUGCAUUUGUGACUGGCGGGCUUGAGUGUGGCAGAGGGGGGUGGAAUUCCGCGUGUAGCAGUGAAAUGCGUAGAGAUGCGGAGGAACACCGAUGGCGAAGGCAGCCCCCUGGGCUGACACUGACGCUGAGGCACGAAAGCGUGGGGAGCAAACAGG
rnacentral:rRNA from 1 species